GAAUUACAAGAAAUGCGUGUUUAAUUCAAAGGGUUUGUCUCAAAUCUAAGAAGUUGCUUAAAUCAAACCGUGGCUUAACCCGUUCGAUAGUUUUUGUAUGGAACUGGGUCAUCUUCGAAUUUGAUUGAGUUAAAAGCAUAAUAUGAAAUGGAAGUUUGUGAAUCUAAGGUUAUCUGUUUGUUUGAUUCU